UACAGAGGUCCCGAGCGUUGUUCGGAUUCACUGGGCGUAAAGGGUGCGUAGGUGGUGUGGCAAGUUUGAUGUGAAAUCUCCGGGCUUAACCCGGAAAAUGCAUUGAAUACUGCCAGGCUGGAGGGUUGGAGGGGGGACUGGAAUUCUCGGUGUAGCAGUGAAAUGCGUAGAUAUCGGGAGGAACACCUGUGGCGAAGGCGGCCCCCUGGUUGGAUACUGACGCUGAUACGCGAAAGCGUGGGGAGCAAACAGG
rnacentral:rRNA from 1 species